CUCAAACUGAUCUCUGAUCAGGUCACACAUAGAGCUCUCAAUCUGAUCUCAGAUCAGGUCAUACAUACAGCUCUCAAGCUGAUCUCAGAUCAGGUUAUUCAUACAGCUCUCAGGCAGAUCUCAGACAUCUGAUCUCAGAUCAGGUCACACAUAGAGCUCUCAAACUGAUCUCAGAUCAGGUCAUUCAUACUGCUCUGACGCAGAUCGCAGAGAGCUGAUCUUAGAUCAGGUCACAUAUAGAGUUCUCAAACUGAUCUCAGAUCAGGUCACACAUAGAGCUCUCAAGCUGAUCUCAGAUCAGGUCAUACAUACAGAUCUCAGGCUGAUCUCAGACAGCUGAUCUCAGAUCAGGUCACACAUUGAGCUCUCAAACUGAUCUCAGAUCAGGUCAUACAUAUAGCUCUCAAGCUGAUCUCAGAUCAGGUCAUACAUAGAGGUCUUAGGCUGAUCUCAGAACAGGUCAUACAGAGGUCAUAGGCUGAUCUCAGAACAGCUGAUCUCAGAUCAGGUCACAAAUGGAGCUCUCAAGCUGAUCUCAGAUCAGAUCAUACAUACAGCUCUUAAGCUGAUCUCAGAUUAGGUCAUACAUACAGCUCUCAAGCUGAUCUCAGAUCAGGUCAUACAUACAGCUCUCUGGCUUAUCUCAGAUCAGGUCAUACAUAUAGCUCUCAAGCUGAUCUCAGAUCAGGUCAUACAUAUAGCUCUCAAGCUGAUCUCAGAUCAGGUCACACAUGGAGCUCUCAAACUGAUCUCAGAUCAGGUCACACAUAGAGCUCUCAAGCUGAUCUCAGAUCAGGUCAUACAUACAGAUUUCAAGCUGAUCUCAGACAGCUGAUCUCAGAUCAGGUCACAUAUAGAGCUCUCAAACUGAUCUCAGAUCAGGUUAUACAUAUAGCUCUCAAGCUGAUCUCAGAUCAGGUCAUACAUAGAGGUCUUAGGCUGAUCUCAGAACAGCUGAUCUCAGAUCAGGUCACAAAUGGAGCUCUCAAGCUGAUCUCAGAUCAGAUCAUACAUACAGCUCUUAAGCUGAUCUCAGAUUAGGUCAUACAUACAGCUCUCUGGCUUAUCUCAGAUCAGGUCAUACAUAUAGCUCUCAAGCUGAUCUCAGAUCAGGUCAUACAUAUAGCUCUCAAGCUGAUCUCAGAUCAGGUCACACAUGGAGCUCUCAAACUGAUCUCAGAUCAGGUCACACAUAGAGCUCUCAAGCUGAUCUCAGAUCAGGUCAUACAUACAGAUUUCAAGCUGAUCUCAGACAGCUGACCUCAGAUCAGGUCACAUAUAGAGCUCUCAAACUGAUCUCAGAUCAGGUCACACAUAGAGCUGUCAAGCUGAUCUAAGAUCAGAUCAUACAUACAGCUCUGAAGCUGAUCUCAGAUCAGGACAUACAUACAGCUCUUAAGCUGAUCUCAGAUCAGGUUAGACAUACAGCUCUCAAACUGAUCUCAAAUCAGGUCAUACAUACAGGUCUCAGGCUGAUCUCAGAACAGGUCAUACAGAGAUCUUAGGCUGAUCUCAGAACAGCUGAUUUCAGAUCAGGUCACACAUAGAGCUCUCAAACUGAUCUCAGAUCAGGUCAUUCAUACUGCUCUCAGGCAGAUCUCAGAUCAGGUCACAUAUAGAGCUCUCAAACUGAUCUCAGAUCAGGUCACACAUAGAGCUCUCAAUCUGAUCUCAGAUCAGGUCAUACAUACAGAUCUCAGUCUGAUCUCAGAACAGGUAAUACAGAGGUCUUAGGCUGAUCUCAGAACAGCUGAUCUCAGAUCAGUUCACACAUUGAGCUCUCAAUCUGAUCUCAGAUCAGAUCAUACAUACAGCUCUCAAGCUGAUCUCUGAUCAGGUAAUACAUACAGGUCUCAAGCUGAUCUCAGAUCAGGUCAUACAUACAGCUCUCUGGCUGAUCUCAGAUCAGGUCAUACAUAGAGCUCUCAGGCUGAUCUCAGAUCAGGUCAUACAUACAGCUCUCAGGCUGAUCUCAGACAUCUGACCUCAGAUCAGGUCACACAUAGAGCUCUCAAACUGAUCUCAGAUCAGGUCAUUCAUACUGCUCUCAGGCAGGUCGCAGAGAGCUGAUCUCAGAUCAGGUCACAUAUAGAGUUCUAAAACUGAUCUCAGAUCAGGUCACACAUAGAGCUCUCAAGCUGAUCUCAGAUCAGGUCUUACAUACAGCUCUCAGGCUGAUCUCAGACAUCUGAUCUCAGAUCAGGUCACACAUAGAGCUCUCAAACUGAUCUCAGAUCAGGUCAUUCAUACUGCUCUCAGGCAGAUCUCAGACAGCUGAUCUCAGAUCAGGUCACAUAUAGAGCUCUCAAACUGAUCUCAGAUCAGGUCACACAUAGAGCUCUCAAGCUGAUCUCAGAUCAGGUCAUACAUACAGAUCUCAGGCUGAUCUCAGAACAGGUAAAACAGAGGUCUUAGGCUGAUCUCAGAACAGCUGAUCUCAGAUCAGUUCACACAUUGAGCUCUCAAUCUGAUCUCAGAUCAGAUCAUACAUACAGCUCUCAAGCUGAUCUCUGAUCAGGUAAUACAUACAUGUCUCAAGCUGAUCUCAGAUCAGGUCAUACAUACAGCUCUCUGGCUGAUCUCAGAUCAGGUCAUACAUAGAGCUCUCAGGCUGAUCUCAGAUCAGGUCAUACAUACAGCUCUCAGGCUGAUCUCAGACAUCUGACCUCAGAUCAGGUCACACAUAGAGCUCUCAAACUGAUCUCAGAUCAGGUCAUUCAUACUGCUCUCAGGCAGGUCGCAGAGAGCUGAUCUCAGAUCAGGUCACAUAUAGAGUUCUCAAACUGAUCUCAGAUCAGGUCACACAUAGAGCUCUCAAGCUGAUCUCAGAUCAGAUCAUACAUACAGCUCUCAAGCUGAUCUCAGAUCAGGUCAUACAUACAGCUCUCAGGCUGAUCUCAGACAUCUGAUCUCAGAUCAGGUCAUACAUAGAGCUCUCAAAUUGAUCUCAGUUCAGGGCAUUUAUACAGCUCUCAGGCAGAUCUCAGACAGCUGAUCUCAAAUCAGGUCACAUAUAGAGCUCUCAAACUGAUCUCAGAUCAGAUCAUUCAUACAGCUCUCAGGUAGAUCUCAGACAUCUGAUCUCAAAUCAGGUCACAUAUAGAACUCUCAAACUGAUCUCAGAUCAGGUCACACAUAGAGCUCUCAAGCUGAUCUCAGUUCAGAUCAUACAUACAGCUCUGAAGCUGAUCUCAGAUCAGGUCAUACAUACAGCUCUCAAGCUGAUCUCAGUUCAGAUCAUACAUACAGCUCUGAAGCUGAUCUCAGAUCAGGUCAUACAUACAGCUCUCAAGCUGAUCUCAGAUCAGGUUAUUCAUACAGCUCUCAGGCAGAUCUCAGACAGCUGAUCUCAGAUCAGGUCAUACAUACAGCUCUCAAGCUGAUCUCAGUUCAGAUCAUACAUACAGCUCU